rnacentral:rRNA from 1 species
CCAAGCCUACGGGGGGCAGCAGUAGGGAAUCUUCCACAAUGGACGAAAAUCUGAUGGAGCAACGCCGCGUGAGUGAAGAAGGGUUUCGGCUCGUAAAGCUCUGUUGGUAGUGAAGAAAGAUAGAGGUAGUAACUGGCCCUUAUUUGACGGUAAUUACUUAGAAAGUCACGGCUAACUACGUGCCAGCAGCCGCGGUAAUACGUAGGUGGCAAGCGUUGUCCGGAUUUAUUGGGCGUAAAGCGAGUGCAGGCGGUUCAAUAAGACU